CUAUCACAUAUAAUUAAAAAUCCACUAACACAUGCAACUGUAGUGUCCACGUCAGUAAGUCACUAUAUUUUUCUCAAUAUGCAAGUUGUCCAACUAAAUAAUACACUAUCACACAUAACUAAGAUUCACUUGUCAUGCAAUUGUAAAGUCCACAUCAGCAAGACACAUAAAUAUCUUGUUUGUUCAUGUCAUCAUGUCACGCAAUCCACUAAUCUGCAUUCCUGUAGUAAUGCGCGGGGUAUUCUCCUAUAUAUUGCAUUAGGUAUUGGGGGUAUGGAGGUCGAGUUAAGAUGUGCUUCUAUAGACAGUAUGAUGAUGUCAGAAGGCACUUUUUUGAGAGAGUACCAAGAAAAAAAAAACAAAUCAUUAUUUUCCUCAUUGUGGGGGUAUAAACCCCUAUACCCUUACGGCUAGACUUGGGCC
rnacentral:lncRNA from 1 species